rnacentral:rRNA from 1 species
AUUGAACGCUGGCGGCAUGCCUUACACAUGCAAGUCGAACGGCAGCGCGGACUUCGGUCUGGCGGCGAGUGGCGAACGGGUGAGUAAUACAUCGGAACGUACCCUGUUGUGGGGGAUAACUAGUCGAAAGAUUAGCUAAUACCGCAUACGACCUGAGGGUGAAAGUGGGGGACCGCAAGGCCUCACGCCGCAGGAGCGGCCGAUGUCUGAUUAGCUAGUUGGUGGGGUAAAGGCCCACCAAGGCGACGAUCAGUAGCUGGUCUGAGAGGACGAUCAGCCACACUGGGACUGAGACACGGCCCAGACUCCUACGGGAGGCAGCAGUGGGAAAUUUUGGACAAUGGGGGCAACCCUGAUCCAGCAAUGCCGCGUGUGUGAAGAAGGCCUUCGGGUUGUAAAGCACUUUUGUCCGGAAAGAAAUCGCGCUGGUUAAUACUUGGCGUGGAUGACGGUACCGGAAGAAUAAGCACCGGCUAACUACGUGCCAGCCGCCGCGGUAA